rnacentral:lncRNA from 1 species
GUGGUGGAGGGCGUAUGUGGGGACAGGACAGUAAACGGGAACUGUCUGCACUUUCCACUCAAUUUCACUGAGAACCUAAAACUAUUCUGAAAAAUAAGGUUUGUUAAUUUAAGUGAGAAAAGUGUCCAGAGUGGCAACUCACUGAUGAAAGAAAUAGAGAUUAGAGUUUAGAGAUAGUAAGCAACAGGGAUUUCAAGGUCAGGGUAUGAGAGAGGAGAGAGGUCCACAGAAGAAGUUCCAAGAACCUACAAUAA